UUCCGGUUGAUCCUGCCGGACCCGACUGCUAUUUGGGUGAGGAUAAGCCAUGCGAGUUGAAUGGGAUACCCAAAGUUCCCAUGGCAAACUGCUCAGUAACACAUGAUCAACUUACCCUAUAGAGGAAAAUAACCUCGGGAAACUGAGGAUAAUAUUCCAUAGUUGAAUCGGCUUGGAAAAGUUUUUCAAUAAAAGGGAUAAGGAAAAUGGUUCUUAUCUGCUAUAGGAUAGGAUCGUGUUCGAUUAUGGUUGUUGGUGAGGUAAAGGCUCACCAAGCCGAUAAUCGAUAGGGGCCGUGAGAGCGGGAGCCCCGAGAUGGGUACUGAGACAACGACCCAGGCCUUACGAGGCGCAGCAGGCGCGAAACCUCCGCAAUACACGAAAGUGUGACGGGGUUACCCAAAGUGUUCUAUUUAGAACUGUGGUAGGUGAGUAAUGUCCCCUGCUAGAAAGGAGAGGGCAAGGCUGGUGCCAGCCGCCGCGGUAAAACCAGCUCUUCAAGUGGUCGGGAUAAUUAUUGGGCUUAAAGUGUCCGUAGCCGGUUUAGUAAGUUCCUGGUAAAAUCGGGUAGCUUAACUAUCUAUAUGCUAGGAAUACUGCUAUACUAGAGGGCGGGAGAGGUCUGAGGUACUACAGGGGUAGGGGUGAAAUCUUAUAAUCCUUGUAGGACCACCAGUGGCGAAGGCGUCAGACUGGAACGCGCCUGACGGUGAGGGACGAAAGCCAGGGGAGCGAACCGGAUUAGAUACCCGGGUAGUCCUGGCCGUAAACGAUGCAUACUAGGUGAUGGCACGGCCAUGAGCCGUGUCAGUGCCGUAGGGAAACCGUUAAGUGUGCCGCCUGGGAAGUACGGUCGCAAGGCUAAAACUUAAAGGAAUUGGCGGGGGAGCACCACAAGGGGUGAAGCCUGCGGUUCAAUUGGAUUCAACGCCGGA
rnacentral:rRNA from 1 species